rnacentral:sRNA from 1 species
AUGGCUGUCGUCAGCUCGUGUCGUGAGAUGUUGGGUUAAGUCCCGCAACGAGCGCAACCCUCGGCCUUAGUUGCCAUCAUUUAGUUGGGCACUCUAAGGCGACUGCCGGUGAUAAGCCGGAGGAAGGUGGGGAUGACGUCAAGUCCUCAUGGCCCUUACAGGUUGGGCUACACACGUGCUACAAUGGCGGUGACAGAGGGACGCAAAAGGGCAACCUUUCGCAAAUCUCAAAAAACCGUCUCAGUUCGGAUUGGGGUCUGCAACUCGACCCCAUGAAGUUGGAAUCGCUAGUAAUCGCAGAUCAGCACGCUGCGGUGAAUACGUUCCCGGGCCUUGUACACACCGCCCGUCACACCAUGGGAGUUGGCUUUACCCGAAGGCGCUGCGCUAACCCGUAAGGGAGGCAGGCGACCACGGUAGGGUCAGCGACUGGGGUGAAGUCGUAACAAGGUAGCCGUAGGGGAACCUGCGGCUGGAUCACCUCCUUUCUAAGGAUGAACCUCCAGAGCUCACGAGAUCUAUUGGUUCGUCAACUAUACUACACAGGUGCGGGGCGCCGCCGUCUUCGUUUCUCUUUCCUCCUCAUCGCCGGCCUGGCUCUUGAGCUAUAAGGCGCGCCGGCGAUGCGAUCGCGAGCCCAUUGAGCGGCGGCGCUGAAGGCCCGUAGCUCAGUUGGUUAGAGCGCACGCCUGAUAAGCGUGAGGUCGGCAGUUCAAGUCUGCCCGGGCCUACCAUCCUGCUUCGCGCGCCGCGCUUCGCAGGACUUGUCUCGAAGGCUAUCUGGCGACAAAGGGCAUGGCCUCCGUAGCUUCAGCGAAGGAGGGGCCAUAGCUCAGUUGGUAGAGCGCGUGCUUUGCAAGCAUGAGGUCGUCGGUUCGAUUCCGUCUGGCUCCACCAAGACCAAUAUGUCUCGCGAUCUUUGAGGAAGAUACCAAUUCUCACCACUGCCUUUCGCUUAAAGGGCGCGGCGAGUUUGACAUCGUGAAUGAAGGGUCGGCCCGUCCCCGAAAGGUUGGGGAUUUAGGGCGGACUUAAGAAAAGACAUCAAUUGUCUGGCAAAUACAAAUCAAAGCGCAUGUGUGGGCGCGGGAAGCUCUUCGUACGGCAUCCCGCAAACUUGACCCCCGUCCAUGAGUUUUGCUGAGAACGAUCAAGCGCAUAAGGGCUUCUGACGGAUGCCUUGGCGUUGAGAGGCGAUGAAGGACGUGGCACGCUGCGAUAAGUUCCGGGGAGGCGCGAGCACCCUUUGAUCCGGAAAUUUCCGAAUGGGGAAACCCGG